GGCCCGGUAGCUCAGUCGGCUAGAGCAGUUGGUUAACACCCAACCGGUCGGACGUUCGAGUCGUCCCCGGACCA
rnacentral:tRNA from 1 species